ACCGCCAUCCAGCCGAUGUCGCCGUCCGUCCCGCCAUCUCCUUCAUUGCUCGGAAAUAACAAGAGCACCGAAGGAAAAAGACAAAGGCAAAGAGGAUUAGUUCAAUUUCCGUAGUCGUGUGGUAUAUAUCUUUGACUGAGAAAAAAGAAGGAAUACAGUUAAACUACAAAGCAAUAAUAAAUGUAAGACCACAGCGGAAGAGAGUUCGAUAAAUGGUAUUAAUGAGCUAGUAGCAACAUAACUUACCCCUCCUCCUCUAAAACGUUGUGUCGUGCACAAUUUUUGAGUAGGGUGCCAAAUAUUAAAAUCAACAAACCAGUUCAACAAUUGUUGAACAAAUGUCCAAGAGGAGCCUCAUCAUGUAAAAUCGAUCUCCUUCUUCUUCAGGGAUACUUUGUUUGAGUGAAGAAUAUUCAGUAUCACUUGGCGCAAGGCCUCCAGUAACUAGGGAUGCAGCAAAUGGUGAAACAAAUGCAAUUUCACUUAGGAUACCAAGACUUCUUCGCAUUUCAACCCCAUAUUCUUCUUUGUACCACUGCCUGUAGAAAAAUUCUU